CCCUUAGAUGUUCGGGGCCGCACGCGCGCUACACUGAAGGAAUCAGCACGUCUUUCUCCUUGUCCGAAAGGACUGGGUAACCCGCUGAACCUCCUUCGUGCUAGGGAUUGGGGCUUGUAAUUCUUCCCCAUGAACGAGGAAUUCCCAGUAAGCGCGAGUCAUAAGCUCGCGUUGAUUACGUCCCUGCCCUUUGUACACACCGCCCGUCGCUACUACCGAUUGGAUGGUUUAGUGAGAUCCUCGGAUUGGUCCCGGAGCGGCCUCUGGUCGUGCCGGAGUGCCGAAAAGAAUGUCGAACUUGAUCAUCUAGAGGAAGUAAGAGUCGUAACA
rnacentral:rRNA from 1 species